rnacentral:rRNA from 1 species
CUCUUAAGAGAAAGACUCUAUUAGGUGGAUAGCUUGGCUCAAGACAGCGAUGAAGGACGUGGCAAGCUACGAAAUGCCUUGGCGACCCGCACGCAGGGGUUGAACCAAGGAUGUCUGAAUGCGACUUCGCCAUAGAAGCUGAAAAGCUAGUUAGACGCAGGGAAUUGAAACAUCUUAGUACCUGCAGGAAGAGAAACCAAACCAGGGAUGCUGUUAUUAGCAGCGAGCGAAAACAGCACAGGGCAAUCUGAACUGCUCAUUGAAAAAUGAGUAUGGAUGUGGAUUUGUAAGACUAUCUUUUAACCCCUAGUCAGGUCAUCUGAAGUCCUCUGGAAAGAGGCGCCUUAGAGGGUGAUAGCCCCGUAGGAGAAGCUUGAAGGGUGUGAUAGUAUCUUGAGUAAUACCUACUGGAUUCUAGGUGUGAAACUAGGAGGCAUCAACUCCUAACCCUAAACAUGUUCUUGAGUCCGAUAGCGCACUAGUACUGUGAAGGAAAGCUGAAAAGCACUCUUGUCAGAGAGUAAAAUAGAACUUAAAACCUGAUAGAUAUAGAGUGAUACGCGCUCACGAGUGUGUAUCGUCCGUUUUGAAUAACGAGCCAGGGAGUUUGUCUGAGUGGCGAGGAUAACCAGUGCUCACUGGGUAUCCAUAGCAAAAGCAAAAGCCCGCAGCUUGCAAGGGGCAAGGUGUGAAAGUGCCUUUAGUCACUCGGGCCAGACCCGAAGCCGAGCGAUCUACGCCUGGGUAAGGUGAAACCCUUCUAAAGAAGGGCGGAGGCCUGAAGAGGUUCUACGGGCAAGUGUUCUCGUAACCUGGGUGUAGGGGUAAAAAGCCAAUCGAGCGCGGCGAUAGCUGGUUCCUGCCAAAGUUGGCCGUAGUCAAGCCCUGAGCAAGGUUGUCUAGGAGGUAGAGCUACGGAUUGAGGAUUUAGGGCUCGAAAGGGCUCGGUUCUUUGUCCAACUCCGAAGUCUUAGGCACUGUAGACCUCAGGAGACGGCGGCUCGUCGUAAGGGUGAGUCGCGAGAGGGGAACAACCCAGACAGUGGUUAAGGUCCCUAAGUGUUGGUUAAGUGUUAACGGGUGAAGGUUGUUUAUGACCAAAAACAGCGAGGAGGUUGGCUUAGAAGCAGCCACCCUUUAAAAAGUGCGUAACAGCUUACUCGUCGAGGUUAUAAGCGCUUAAAAUGGACAGGGCUAAACCAAUCACCGAUACCACUGGCACCCGCAAGGGUUGCGGUAGGCAGGCGUCCUGCUAGGCUAGAAGCUUCUUUGAGAAGAGGAGUGGACCUUGCAGGAAUGAGAAUCCUGGUAAUAGUAAGAGCUUAGUACUGUGAGAAUCAGUACCGCCGAAAGGGCAAGGGUUCCUUGGCAAUGCAGUUCAACCAAGGGUCAGUUAGUCCUAACUCAACUCAUAACUUGAGUCAGUUGAGGAAAGGGAAACAGGUUAAUAUUCCUGUACCAUAAAAGUAUGCGCGGUAACGCAAGCCCUGCUUUUGACGCUUCUGGUUAAGCUGACAAUCCUUGUCUGGAUUGUUAAUAAGAGCAGGUCAGGGGAGUACUGUAAUGGUGAGAACCUGAGCAACUCUUAGAACAGCAUCACUUAAGUGGUGUUCAGCCCAUACCUGGAGCCCGUGAAAAAAGAGCAUGGAAAAAUCUUUUAUGUCUAUACCCAGCACCAGCACAGGUGCCCCUGGGUGAGAAGCCCAAGGCGUGAAGGGAUAAUCUGGUUGAGGGAAUUCGGCAAAUUAGCCCCAAGUCUUCGGUCUAAGGGGUCCCUACUUUUGUAUUCUUAUGGGUGCGAUUGUAGGGGGCACUGACAAAGGAGGUCCGACUGUUUAACAAAAACUUAACUGAGUGCAAACCUGUAAAGGCUAGAAUACUCAGUGACGUCUGCCCAGUGCCUGUAUCUGAAUCUCCUUUUCAAGGGAGCGAAGGACAGGUAAACGGCGGGAGUAACUAUAACUCUCUUAAGGUAACGAAAUGCCUUGCCGUUUGAUUGACGGCCUGCAUGAAUGGCGUAACGAGAUCUCCGCUGUCCCCAACCAGAACCCUCUGAACAUUCUAUUCUGGUGCAAAGGCCAGAGACUUCCAGUGGGAAGCAAAGACCCCGUGAAACUUUACUGUAGCCUGUUGCUGCAUCGUGAGUCUGAGUGUAUAGCGUAAGUAGGAGUUGUUUGAUGCUUGCACGCAAGUGCAGGUUUAGACGUCAAUGUAACACUACUCAUUUGGUUUUGCAAUGCUUACCUGUUCCUUGAGAGCAGAGACACCAAUAGGCAGACAGUUUGGCUGGGGUGGCACGCCGCUGAAAAGAUAUGAGUCGUAGCUUGUUGAUAAACCUCGCUAUACUCGCUUUAUAUCAGCGGCGCCCUAAGGUUGGCUCAGCCGGGUCAGAAACCGAUGGCGAAGGCAUAUGGUGCCAGCGUCAUCGCUGAGCAUCCGGUGUUGAGUGUAAGGGCAAAAGCCAGCCUGACUGGGACUCAAAUAUGACGAGUCUCAGAAACGAAAGUUAGGCCUAGCGAACCCCCGUACCUCCUUGAAUGGGGGGCGGGUAUGACCAAAAAGUUACUCCGGGGAUAUAUCUUGUAGAGGAGUUCAACAGCCAUAUUCUAUUUUUAGUUCAAUACCGAAACUUAAAAAUAGAUAAGGUGUUUCACUUAAUAAGAAACUAAAAUGAAAUCUGUAAUUUCAAUUAAGAGGAAGGAUUUAAUUGAAAAAAAUAAAGGUUUCAUUGUUGGUGCAAGUGAAGACGGAGUCCUUUAUUACAGUCAAAAAAAGAAUGCUUAUAUCUUAGAAAUAGAGCAGAAUAACAAAGAAUGGCUAGAAGUUGUUAAAAAAGCUUUUCUUGUUGCUUAUAAUAAGAAUUGCAAAAUUGACAAGAAGAAAACCGGCUAUUUCAGGUUAUCUUGUUAUUCGAAGGAAAUCUAUGAUGACUUAAUUGAUGCAAGAAAAGACUUUUCUAAGAUACUAAAAAAAUCCAAGAAUUAUAAAAUUGGAUUUCUUCAAGGCGUUUUCGAUGCAGAAGGAAGCGUUCAUAAUAAAAGACUGAGUAUAAGGAUUUAUUCAAAAAACAAAAAGUUGAUCUCAACAAUAAAAAAACUGUUAAAAGAAUUUGAUAUAACAACUGGGAAUUUUUAUGUCGAUAAAAGAACAAAUGUUUUAAUGCUUCCAUUAUAUGGUAAGCAGAAUUUAAGAAAAUUUUGUGAUUUAAUAAAUUUCAAUCAUGUUCAUAAAGAAUAUCGGCUGAAGAUUCUUCUACAAGAAUCCUAGACAGAGUUGUCGCGCCUGAGAGCUCCUAUUAGCUCUGGGUCGACUUUAACUUUCCUGGUUAGUUCAGCUAUAAAGGUCUGAACUUCCCUAACUUAGUUAAUGACCUACUGUUAAGAGUAUAUCGACGGCGCGGUUUGCUACAUCGAUGUCGGCUCUUCCUAUCCUGGCCGUGCAGAAAUAUCUUUGCACUUGCAGAGGUUGCUGUAGGCGGCCAAGGGUGAGGGUGUUCACCUAUUAAAAGGGAUCGUGAGCUGGGUUCAGAACGCUGCGAGGCAGUUUGUUUGAUAUCUACUGGAAGUGUUGAGUGUCUGAAGGGAAGGACCAUCCAGUACGAGAGGAACGAUGGUUCGAAGCCACUGGUCGACCGGUUAUCCGACAGGGUAGGCCGGGCAGCUACGCUUUACAUGGAUAAGUGCUGAAAGCAUCUAAGCACGAAGCCAUCCUUGAAAAGAGACGCUCAUGGACGCCCAUAGAAGAUGGGGUUGAUAGAGCUGGUGUGUAAGCGCGAAGGCAACGACGCGUUCAGCACGCAGCUACUAAUAAGUCCAAUCUCUUUUUUA